GGCUCAAUGGUCUAGUAGUAUGAUUCGCGCUUCGGGUUGGAUCCUUUAGGGUCUGCUAGUGCGCGAGGUCCCGGGUUCAAUUCCCGGUUGAGCCC